CCCCUGGGUCCCAUCUCAAGAGGCCUCCUGGGGGAGCAGAAGGUUCACAGAGCUGGACCACUUGUAUGUCUACUGUGGCCUUCCUGGAGUGUUAUAGAGUACCUAGAAGGGCCCAGGGCUGCAGUUGGGCAUCUCUUGGGGACAGGGUGGAGGCUGAGCUGAGCCCUGAGCCAGUGGCAUCCAUUUCUGCAUACUGCCUCUCACCAUGUGUGCGGUCUGCAUCCCUCACAAGUCCGUGUCACCUAGGAACCAGAUACGGCCUCCAAGGACAUGAUGGGGCAAGUGCAUGUAUUUCCCAGAAGACAUGGAUGAGGGUGCACACAGAGCCCUGAAGACCCAUGCACUGGGGAAGACAGGUCCAUUAAGCCAUCAUCAGCACAGUAGGUACUCCAGAGCAAUGAAAUAACAUUCGCACAAUGAUUUUCACACACUGUUCAGAACGGUUUCAUUUAUGAUGACCCUCGGCUGGCACAAACCCACAUGUGUCAACAGGGACUUACGCAGGCUCCUGAAAACCAUGCUGUAAGCGUGACUUCGCUUCUCAGACCACACUGACAGGACCACGGACCAACCAAGGGUCUUUCCCUGGGAUGCAGAGGCAGCCACCACAGGUUCUGUAUCGAAUGACAGGGAGUGGUGGAGCAGCCCCAGUCUGUGGGCAGAACUGGGGAGAAUAGCCAAUCCUCUGAGGAGAAGUGUGACAGCAUUCACAGAGACACCAGCGUGUGUCCUUCCCGCCUUCUCAUUGCUAAGGAUGUGGCUGUGAACAGCUCCUCGCUUCCAAGAUGCUUCUGAUGGGGCAUCCUCGCUGUUGACUUACUAGAUUGAAGUCACCUAGGAGACACUAUCUGCUGUGUCUGCGAAGGAGCUUCUAGAAAUGUGUAUCUAAGGAGGGAGACUCACACUGAACAUGGAUGGUAUCAUUCUGUGGCCUGGGGGUCCCAGACUGAAUAAAUAGGGAGAAAGAGAACACGAGCCCAGCUCUGGCGUUUUUCUGCUUCCUGACUGUAGAUGCCAUGUAACCAGCUGCCUCAUGCUCCUGACACCAUGCCUGCCUGGCCGUGGUGGACUGUACGCUUCAACCUGUGAGCCAGAAUAAACCCUCCCUUCCUUAAGUCCCCUUUGUCAGGCGUUUUGCCAUCGCAAUGAGAAAAGUAAUGGGUGCAGUUUCUCGACCUCACUAACUAUGCUGCAAAUCUUUUCUUGGUGGACAUUUCUAGUGCCUCAUUCAUUCGUUCAUCCAUUCAUUCACUUAUUCAGCCAUCAAACCCUUACUGAGACUUUCUACAUGUCAAAUGCUGCUCUAGAUGCAGAGGAAAGGGCAGUGGAGUGCUCUCGUGUCAGGGAGAUGGACACUAAACCAACUGACAAAUACAGUACAGUCGAUGGUGCUGGGACUCCGAAGACAAGGCGAGGGAGAGAGACUAUAUCUGCUGUAGUGUGAGGUGCUGUGUUCGUAGGGUCUGAGUCUGUUUGUGCUGCUGUAACAAAAUCCUUGGGGUUCGUUAACUCAUAAAGAAGAGAAACUUACUUUUCCACCUGGAGAGUCUGGAUGUCCCAGAUGGAGCAUGAAGUCUGUACCUCAGAGGAGGAAACGCCACCACCUCGUGGUGAAAGGCAGAAACGCAGAGGAGUCCAAAUGAGUGCACUGAGCCCUUUCAGAAGGCUUGGCACCUCACCCCACUCACCACGGAUUACCUAUUUGAGGUCCCAUCGCUUAAUGCUGUCACAGUGGCAGCAAUUGGCUAAUGCUUUGGGAGCUUCAUCUUCUUUCCCCCAAGAAACUGAUAGCUGGGCAACUGUGCUUAGAGGGAGGGGCCCCAGAGGAAGCUGGGGCAGGGGAAAGGCAGGGGUAGGGGGUGUCUCUAGUUGCCUAGGCCGAGGCUCAUAUCCAAGUAGUGGUCAGUCUCCUGCACGGUGUCUGCAGGUUAUACAAUGAGAGCUGUCCUCAAACUCACAAUUCAACCACCUCUCCCAUUUCAUUGACACUCAGGGUCUGCAGUGGUCAGUCUCCUGCAUGGUGUCUGCAGGUUAUACAAUGAGCUGUCCUCAAACUCACAAUUCAACCACCUCUCCCAUUUCAUUGACACUCAGGGUCCGCAGUGGUCAGUCUCCUGCAUGGUGUCUGCAGGUUAUACAAUGAGCUGUCCUCAAACUCACAAUUCAACCACCUCUCCCAUUUCAUUGACACUCGGGGUCUGCCUAGAGCCAUGUCACACCCCUCUUUCGAUAGAGAUUUGUAUAUUGAAGUAUAUUUCACAAGUCUGGUUCCAGGCAGAGGAUGUGGGAGAAGACCCUGGCAACCUAAAGAGCUUCCUCUGUCCCGUGUGAAGGAAGGACAGAGGCACACUGGGCCUGUGGGGUGUGGGACCCCUAAGGGACAGAUUUUCUGACAUUAGAAGAGGAGGGAAAUCUUACAUGAAUUGUCAUUGUCAACCACAAUGGGACCAGAGAGAUGGCUCUGUUGGUAAAGUGCUGACAUUAUAAGCAUGAAGACCAGACCCACAUAAGAAGCCAGAUGCAGCGGUAUACACUUGUCAUCUCAGAGCUGGACACGGGCAGAUGCCUGCCAAGCUGGCUUCCUCGGAGAGUUCCAGGUAAUGAAAGACAAUGUCACAAAGAAAAAAAAACAUGUGUAUUUAAAGGGUGUCAUCUAGCCUACACACACACAGUACACACACAUAUACAUGCACACUCACAUGUACAAAGACACACACAGUGCACUCACAUACGUGCACACUCACAUGCACAUGUACAAAGACACACACUGUCCCCUAGAAUGAAGAGCCUCCCACUCCUUUGUAUGAGGGAGAAUGCCUCGUUUUAAGGCUCCCUCUAUUCUUGGGAAUUAUGUGGCGCUUCCAGAAGAGUGAGAAGCUUCUCAAGACUCCACUGUUGGGUUGGAAGAACCCACAGCUGAUCUGAGUUUAUUCAGCUACUAUUCAUGGACAUUGUUCACACUCAGCAUUUUGCACUAACCGUGGAUAGCAGAGUUAAACAAGCCUGCUUCACAAGCCUUCCCAGAAAGCAUGCAAAGCAGAGCAUCAGUAGGGUACCAGGUGACCUGGAAUCAUCAGUGGUGGCCCAUUUUCCCACUUUAUUAAUCUAUAAAAGACACUGCCAUGGAAAAAUGAAUCCCAAGCCACAAGCCCUCAUUUGCACAAUUGUGGGACAGUUCCUCACUGCACAGCCACUUACCCUGAGGCUUCUACUCCUCUGCCAAAAUCCUGUCACCUGCUUUCCAGCCCUCCUGAGAGGAAAGUGACACUUGGUUCCAGGAGUAAGCUGGAGUAUCCUUUGCUGGAUACCGAGGACUGGAUCCAGGCAUGGAGGGGCUCUCCAUGGCGCUCUUCCCAGCGGCUUCUGUGCUGGCCUCUUUUUCUCCCUCCACAGUUCUUUUCUUCCAUCUUCUUUUGCCACACUUCCCCACAGUGUUUCAGUCUGUGGUAGGCACAAAGAUGCCGCUUGGUAAAGGGUUCCGGGCUGGGCCCAGCUAAGCCACGGUUCUGGUGCUCAGGGUCCAGCUGUGGCAGCUUCAGCAGCUCCAAUGCUCACAGGUGUUCUGUGGAUCAGUGGAGACACCUUUGCCCCUGUGUCCAAGAGUCCAGCCUUUAUCCUAGAUAAUGCUGCAGGAUGCAAGCUGAGCAGAACUUGAACCACUCACGCUCACCAUUUAACUUUGUUUCUUCUUCUUCAAUUUCUUCAAGACAGGGUUUCUCUGUGUUACAGCCCUGGCCAUACUGGAAUUCACUUUGCAGAUCAGGCUGGCCUCAUAUUCACAGAUAUCUACUUGCCUUUGCAGAUCUCUGCUGGGAUCAAAGACCUGUGCAACCAUGCUUGGCUCACACUUGAAUAUUUUUUUAAGAAUUUUUAGCUUUAAAAAGUC